rnacentral:rRNA from 1 species
UGAAUCUUAAUUUAUUUAAGAUAAGGUAAGGGAAAAUAAUGAUAUUCUCUUACUAUUAGUGUCGUCUAAAUUUGGUGCCAGAAGACUCGGUAAGACCUUAGACGCAAACGUUAAUCCUCAUAAUCAGGCGUAAAGGGUGUGUAGGCGGCUUUUAUAAUCCCUAAGGAUAAAAUAAUGAAAGCUAGAAUCUAAAAGAGGGUAAGCUAAACAACAUAAAUAAUUAGGACUGACAACUGAUAAUAAUGUGGAGUACUAAAGGUUAAAGCUUUUUAUCUACUUAAGAUUGACGCUCAGAAACGAAGGGGAGAAUAAGAAACUUAGAUUAGAGACCUAAUUAUCUCUCUCAGUCAACGAUGAAUGGUAGUUAUUAAAAAAUAUUUAUAUAUUUAAAUAUUAGUGACGAGGUUAACACGAUGACCAUUCCGCCUUGUUAGUAAGACUGCAAAGUUGAAAACAAAAAAAUUAGUCGGUCUUGAAGCAAACGAAGUGAAGCAUGUUAUUUAAUCG